rnacentral:rRNA from 1 species
GACGAACGCUGGCGGCGUGCUUAACACAUGCAAGUCGAACGGAAAGGCCCUGCUUUUGUGGGGUGCUCGAGUGGCGAACGGGUGAGUAACACGUGAGUAACCUGCCCUUGACUUUGGGAUAACUUCAGGAAACUGGGGCUAAUACCGGAUAAGAGCUCCUGCUGCAUGGUGGGGGUUGGAAAGUUUCGGCGGUUGGGGAUGGACUCGCGGCUUAUCAGCUUGUUGGUGGGGUAGUGGCUUACCAAGGCUUUGACGGGUAGCCGGCCUGAGAGGGUGACCGGCCACAUUGGGACUGCGAUACGGCCCAGACUCCUACGGGAGGCAGCAGUGGGGAAUAUUGCACAAUGGGCGGAAGCCUGAUGCAGCAACGCCGCGUGCGGGAUGACGGCCUUCGGGUUGUAAACCGCUUUCGCCUGUGACGAAGCGUGAGUGACGGUAAUGGGUAAAGAAGCACCGGCUAACUACGUG